UGGUUGUCCAGUGGAUAAGACACUGCACUCCCAAUGCUGGGGGCCCAGGUUCAAUCCCUGGUCA
rnacentral:tRNA from 1 species